rnacentral:rRNA from 1 species
GUCUCAAAUCGGGCAGGAAUACCCGCUGAACUUAAGCAUAUCACUAAGCGGAGGAAAAGAAACUAACCAGGAUUCCCCUAGUAGCGGCGAGCGAAGCGGGAGAAGCUCAAGAUUUGAAUCUAUGGGCAUUGCCCAUAGAGCUGUAGUCUAGAGGGGCGCGAUCAGGAGGCGUCUUUUGACCCAAGUCUCCUGGAAUGGAGCACUAUAGAGGGUGAAAGUCCCGUGUUUGGUCAGAAUGUGCGCCUUCCCUGCGAUGCGCCCUGGUCGAGUCGAGUUGUUUGGGAGUGCAGCUCAAAUAGGGUGGUAUACUUCAUCCAAAGCUAAAUAUGGACAGGAGACCGAUAGCGAACAAGUACCGUGAGGGAAAGAUGAAAAGAACUUUGGAAAGAGGGUGAAAUAGUGCUUGAAACCGCUGGGAGGAAAGCGAAUGGAGUUACUGCAAGCCUAGGGCAUCUCAAGCCGGCGUUUUGGUUGGUUCCGGUGUAGAGACUCUGGUGCUGCGCCCGUGGCGACUUUCUAUUCUUGUGGGAAGAAGUGGUUUGUUAGACCAGAAAUGUUUUUCUUUUCUUGUUUUGGAGAAAAAGUGAAGCUUUAUGGUCUUACCAUUUUUUUUCGUUGUCCAAAGAAUGAAGGCGCUGAUCAGUGAAAAAAAGAUUCGGAGAAUCCAGGUAAUGGAUUUUUAGAAUCUAGAAAAACGGGCGGAAGGGCUUUAUUCGACCCGUCUUGGAACACGGACCAAGGAGUCUAACACGUAUGCAAGUAGUAAGGUGGCAAACCUUGGAUGCGCAAUGAAAGUAAACGUAGGUGGGAUUCGUAAGAUGCACCAUCGACCGACCAGGAUCAUCAGUGAAAGGUUUGAGUAAGAGCAUAUUUGUUGGGACCCGAAAGAUGGUGAACUAUGCCUG